CGUGCUUUUUCUAAGAAGGCCAAUGAAGAAGAAGAUGGGAUAACAAUUGAUCAUUUGCACAAAUUGAAUCCUAAGAAUGUUUCUGCUUGGAAUAUGAAGAGGCUGAUGAACAUAAUUCGAUAUGGUGCUCUAACCACACUGGAUGAACAGAUACGUGAUACUAGUCAAGAUGAUGAUGACUCUGCUACAAAGAUCAGAAGCGAAUAUGAAGCCA
rnacentral:misc_RNA from 1 species